CACGAGCCUUGAGGCAGGCGGGGUUCCAGCGCGCCGAGGCCGCCCUCAACCGCUCAGAGCGUCUGUUGCUGGCGGUUCAUGGCGGGGAGACUAGCAGCGCGAGAGCAAAGGGCGGUUACCAACGGCCUUCGCUCUCAUGGCGUCCUUCUUGGUGUUACCUAAAAAUAAAGCCAAGUGUGAUUAGAAGGACUGAAACCUCAGACACAGGGAGCUGGCCUAUUCACCUUAGAAUCCUCUGGGGCACCCACUACAGUGUCUGCAGCAAGGAGUCAAUAAAGAACCGGGGAACAGACUGGAGCAGAAGGACCACCCAGCAGAGCCAAGCCAAAUCACUGACCCUCAGAGACCUGAUGUGAAUGCUUAUGGUUUCAGUCCACUGGAUUCUGCAGUAAUCUGCCGAUCUGCAAUAUUACCACAGUAAAUAAUGGAUAGACCUGAAAAUGAACGUGUACCUCAUGCCAAAAUUGCAGAUACCCUGUGAGCAGGAAACCUCAGCAGUAGAAACAAUUUUAUAUGAGGGAAUGUACUCUCUCCUUUGCAUUUUUCCUCAAAUCUGUAUUUUUAGUCCCUCACUUGUCUCUACAGAGACAAGUCUCUACAGAGACAAGUGAGUUGCUUAAUCUAAUUGCUGACUGUACAUCUCCAGGAAACUGUGUGUAUGUGUUUAUAUUCAUAGUAUAUGUAUUUAUUAUCUGUUUACUUCCAUGGGAUGUAGUCUCCCUAAGAGAGUAGUCAUGAUUGUA